rnacentral:rRNA from 1 species
UGGUGGGGUGACUCGUCUGGUUAAUUUCGAUAACGAACGAGAUCCGAGCUGUUUAGUUGAUUGCACCAAUCUUGGGAUAAGUCUUCUAAAUGGACAAUCAGCAUUAAGCUGAGGGAAGUUUCGGGCUAAAUCA